rnacentral:rRNA from 1 species
UACGAAGGGGGCUAGCGUUGUUCGGAAUUACUGGGCGUAAAGGGCGCGUAGGCGGCCUGUUAAGUCGAACGUGAAAUCCCUGGGCUCAACCCAGGAACUGCGUCCGAUACUGGCAGGCUUGAAUUCGGGAGAGGGAUGCGGAAUUCCAGGUGUAGCGGUGAAAUGCGUAGAUAUCUGGAGGAACACCGGUGGCGAAGGCGGCAUCCUGGACCGAGAUUGACGCUGAGGCGCGAAAGCCAGGGGAGCAAACGGG